AUUUGUGGCCAUACUGUCCUGCGAGUGCCUGAUCCCGUCAGAUCUCGCAAGCUAAGCAGGGCUGGGCCUUGUUAGUUCUUGGAUGCGAGAUGCGAGUCUUUCAAGACCAGGGGCCAUUGCACAAG
rnacentral:rRNA from 12 species